UUCAGAAUUGCAACAGACACUAAUACACAGUCACAAGCAGAGAAACCAUAUCAUACCAUAUUUGUUUGCGUCAGCUGGAUAAUCUUGCUUUGGUUACAUGCGUUGAGACGUUCGUUUGUGUCGACAGAGAUGUUGUAACUGAACAGAAUUGCAAACUCUACAACUGCACCGCUUCUCUCAGCAGCUUUACGCAAAUUACCAAACAGAAGAGAUCCAGGAAAAUUGUCGUUUUCUGCGACUUUGUGCCUCGGAAACCAAUCUCGUCAAGACACAGAGAAGAGCCAUUAGAUGUCAGGUAUUCCAAAAAGUAUCACCAGAGACGAUCUGGAUCAGAAUUCGAUGAGAGAUCCAGACUCCUUGCACUACUCCAGUCUGACUGUUGAGUCAUCCCAGUCACAGGGUAGCUCAAAGAAUUCAAGCCAACGAGCUACCCCAACUGGGAAAAUUAAGAAGGACAAGAAAGCCGACAAACAAAAAGGAUCCUCAAAGAAGUAGACGAGAAGGCCGACAAGAUCAACAAAACUUCUUCUAGUGAGAUAAAUGAUAACUUACCCUAAUUUAGAUAUUCAGGAUUAACAGUAAAUUUAAACACUGUUUUUAAUAGUAUAAAUUCAAAUCAUUUUAAUUAAAUAAAAAUAUUUAUUAAAACUAUAUAAAAA